CGCCCCUUCCGGUAGGAAAUAAGCGACCACCAGCUCUCAAUCAAAUGGUUUAUUGCCCCAUGGGAGCCCCCGGACGCCCCCCCCGCCCUCCAACGUGGUGCCAUCAGAGCAGAAGAAAGCGGCGUCGUUGGCGGCCGUGUCGUCCCACAGCCCCCGGGACGGCUCCACGCGGAGGCGGAAGGAAAUGAUGCGGGAAGAGCGCGGGCAGCCCUGGGCUGGGAGCCACUGCCCCCAGCUGGGGGGGAGAGGGGAACCCAGUCCUCCAAGCACCAACGCGCAUGCGUUCGGGAUCCUGGAAGUUGCGGCUCUCUGUUUGGACCGCUCUGCGCCUCGUGUUCACCAAUCUCUAUG
rnacentral:lncRNA from 1 species